rnacentral:tRNA from 2 species
CCCGGUGUUGAGCAACGGAGCGCUCAAUGGGCUACGAACCCAUAUUCGCAUGCAGGUUCGAAUCCUGUCAUCGGGUCCA